rnacentral:tRNA from 1 species
AGGAUUAUAUUUAAUUAUAAUAACUGAUCUGCAAUUAGUAGGUGCUAUUAAUCUAGCUAAUCUUA